AUACAUGAGCAAAAUCUCAACUUUAUUAGAAGAGACGCAUUUAUUAGAUAAAAAGCCAAUGCAUGCUUUUACAGUAUGGAAAUUGGUGAUUUAUAAUAACUUAGCAAAUCGCAAAGUGAAAACAGGCGAUAAAUCAUUCAAGUUUCUGACCUAUCAGCUUUCGACGGUAUGGUAUUGGCUUACCGUGGCAGUGACGGUUAACGGGGGAUUAGGGUUCGAUUCCGGAGAGGGAGCCUGAGAAACGGCUACCACAUCUAAGGAAGGCAGCAGGCGCGCAAAUUACCCAAUUCUAACAGUUUGAGAGAGGUAGUAACAAGAAAUAACAAUACAAGGCAAUUAAAAUGCUUUGUAAUUGGAAUGAUAGAAAUUUAAACCCUUUUUAAAGUAUCAAUUGGAGGGCAAGUCUGGUGCCAGCAGCCGCGGUAAUUCCAGCUCCAAUAGCGUAUAUUAAAAUUGUUGCAGUUAAAAAGCUCGUAGUUGAAGUUCUGCUAAAAGUAACCGGUCUGCUUUUAAUAAAAGUGGUAUCUUGGUGUGUAUUUAGCAAUGAUGUCCUUUGAAGUGUUUUUUACUUUAUUGUAAUAAAGCAUAUUCAGGACUUUUACUUUGAGAAAAUUAGAGUGUUUCUAGCAGGCCGACGCUUUGAAUACUGCAGCAUGGAAUAAUAAG
rnacentral:rRNA from 1 species